UACGUAGGGUGCAAGCGUUAAUCGGAAUUACUGGGCGUAAAGCGUGCGCAGGCGGUUUUGUAAGCCAGAUGUGAAAUCCCCGGGCUCAACCUGGGAAUGGCAUUUGGGACUGCAAGGCUGGAGUACGGCAGAGGAGACUGGAAUUCCUGGUGUAGCAGUGAAAUGCGUAGAUAUCAGGAGGAAUACCGAUGGCGAAGGCAGGUUUCUGGGCUGAUACUGACGCUCAUGCACGAAAGCGUGGGGAGCAAACAGG
rnacentral:rRNA from 1 species